GCGGGCAAGGCAAGGCACCGCCGCGCUCCGCUGCCGUCACCCGUCUCCAUGCAUCCAUGCAUUUUGCCCAUUUUGGCUCUGCUCUUUUGUUUCUCUGAUUUGUGCUUUGUUGACUUUGUACGUGUGAAUUACGAACAUUUUCUAGCAUGCUUAGGAUUUUCCGCACCAGUGAACGGGCUUUUCAAAUCGAUUUUCGCACCACUUACCAGUGCAAAAUAUUUAUGUGAUGCCAGAUUAUCCGGCCAGGCCCAUUAAUUCCUUCUGGAGUGGCUUUUCGACAAACAAAAGGGGACAGUGCCUAGCUCAUUGAUUCUGACUCAGCGAGUGUGAUGUCCUACUCAAAGAGAACAUUUACAAGAUUCCUGGCCUGGAGGACAUUCGACUAUGGUCAUCGGGCAGCUGACUUGAUACAGCACGCACGUCCACGUACCCGAGCAUGAGCGGCAGCGAGAGAGCCAGUGAGAGCGUCGCAUUGUCUGCUCAUCAUGCACUCCAGCCUCGAGUCCAUCAACAACACCAAUGGAACCGCCGCUGCCGACGAGUUUUUCAGGGUGAAUAAACGUAAUAGUUAAGCAGUGCCUCCGAGACUCGAGCGUUGAAGAGACUCGACGCCGCCAUUGCGUGCUGCCGGUGGCGCCAAAACUGUUUGAGACCUACCGAGUUCCUCAUUGGCUACAUGCCGGCCCAACCAGAAACGGGAGGCCUUCACCCUGGCCGCCAAGCUCAACCACGCUGCAGCUGUACCUGCGAGGAUUGACAUCAAAGGCGAGCUUUGGAGAAAGCGGAUCAGGACGCACACAGCACUUCCUGCAAGCCGCCGCCAUGUUUUCUGUCAUCGCCCGGCGCCGAUGCUGCCGAUAAGAAGCCACCGACAAAAGCGAUUCGACACGGAUGGGCUCAACAAGAUGAGAAAAACUGAGAACAGUUCAACGUGGAGACCCUGAAUUACACUUUAAUUAAACCUAAAUGCUUUAAAAUAAUUUAAAAUUGAAAAUUUCCCGCCACAUCGUGUCUGAUUCUCUAUUGUACUCGGAUGGUCGAAGGUGAGGGUCCGAACUGCGGCCUGAAAUCUCGUGAAGUCCACUCAAACAAAUAAUUCAACAGUGAAGAAAAAGUGCGAUGAUAAUGUAAUUUUGAAUCUCUGUUAUUUAUUGAAAAGAUUAUUUUCAUAUUAAAAAUGGCAGCUGUGGUAGGUGGAGUGUGCGGGGUCGCUUAGCACGUUCAUGUUGACGACCUGAGCCUUUGGGCCCUCAGUGUGGGGGUCAAGGUGCGCAGUCAGCUCGAAGAUGAGUCCGCGACCGCUCUCCAUAGGUUGCCCUAGCCACCCCUCUUCAGCCCCUAUCGCCGCUCUCCAGCCUUGGGACGCGUCUGCUCGGCCGCAGGGUCCAUUGAGGUCAACCUGGAAAGGACAAAGUGCGAUUGAGAAAAAAUGUGGCACUGGUGUCGCGGUAAAUGGCACAGAUUUUCUAUUUAUUUUUUUAUUCCAACGAAAUUUCGCGGUAAGUUGGAUUAUGUGUGUAUUUUCCCUGUUCCUCUCAAUUAAAUAUUAAAUUAAAUUAUUUACCACCAAGCGAUGGCGCCAAGAUUACUCUUGAGAUGUAAAAUCUUCUUUUCAAAUAAAAUUUAUGGCUAUUUCAAGCUGAUGG